CGUAGGUGGCAAGCGUUGUCCGGAAUUAUUGGGCGUAAAGCGCGCGCAGGCGGAAAUUUAAGUCUAUCUUAAAAGUGCGGGGCUCAACCCCGUGAUGGGAUAGAAACUGGAUUUCUUGAGUGUCGGAGAGGACAGUGGAAUUCCCAGUGUAGCGGUGAAAUGCGUAGAUAUUGGGAGGAACACCAGUGGCGAAGGCGACUGUCUGGACGAUGUCUGACGCUGAGGCGCGAAAGCCAGGGUAGUGAACGGGAUUAGAUACCCCGGUAAUCCUGGCCGUAAACGAUGGGUACUAGGUGUUGGGGGUAUCGACCCCUCCAGUGCCGGAGUUAACGCAAUAAGUACCCCCGCCUGGGGAGUACGGCCGCAAGGUUG
rnacentral:rRNA from 1 species